GCUAUCUGGUAAUUGUUUAACUUGCUAUAAAGGCAGGAUUGCACAUCAAAUUGUUCAUUAAAUUCUGGAGUCAUACAAUCAUAUAUUACAAUGUAAUAAAUGAUACAUGAUGAUCUAUUUUCAAAGAGGAUGAAUAUAGUAAAGCUCUUGCGGAUGAAAUAGCAAAGAGGCUGAUCGUCACCCCACCACAGGAUCAAGAAAGUUUGGAACCACACAGCGAUACUACUCUCGGCAGAGGCCUGAAUCCUGUAGAAGCAGAAGAUGAAUAUAUUAAAGGUCGUGUGGAUACAACAGAAAAGAGGCUGACCAUGACCCCAACACAGGUAAUUAUCAUCUUCAUGACUGUGCAUAUAUUGUAUUUCUGAUUUAAGGAAAAACCAGUGAAAAAGAAUGA